UUGCUGAUGAUUCCAUUGCUGGGACUGGGUAUCCAUCCCAUCUAUCCGCUGGCUAAUAAUAACUUAUAAUAAUAAGAAGGGAGAAUCAAUCCACUAGUCGCCUAGACACCUAACCCGGUUCCCGUCCUUUACCUAAGAUAUAGGUCGAGCCACUUUGACACUUUGGUAAAGGAGGCUCUUGCUUUCAGUUGCUUUCAAUCGCGGGUUCCACAUUUCUGACAUCAGACGCAUAGA
rnacentral:lncRNA from 1 species